GAUGAACGCUAGCGGCGGGCCUAAUACAUGCAAGUCGAGGGGUAGAAGAGGCUUGCUUCUUUGAGACCGGCCCACGGGUGCGUAACGCGUAUGCAACCUACCUUCAUCUGGGGGAUAGCCCGGAGAAAUCCGGAUUAAUACCGCAUAAAAUCACAGGAUGGCAUUAUCCAAUUAUCAAACAUUUAUGGGAUGGAGAUGGGCAUGCGUGUCAUUAGCUAGGAGGCGGGGUAACGGCCCACCAAGGCUACGAUGACUAGGAGAAUUGAGAGGAUGCGCCCCAAAGCGGGCAAUGAGACACGGCCCCGACGCCUACGGGAGGCGGCAGUAAGGAAUCUUGGUAAAUGGAGGCACGUCUAACCCGGCCAUGCCGCAUGAAGGAAGACUGCCCUAUGGGUUGUAAACUGCUUUUAUUCGGGAAUAACCCUUAUUACGUGUAAUAAGCUGAAUGUACCGAAGGAAUAAGGAUCGGCUAACUCCGUGCCAGCAGCCGCCGUAA
rnacentral:rRNA from 1 species